GGAACUACUCCGAUGAGAAUCUUCGGAAAGGAUUUGGUUUAGUUUAGUGGCGGACGGGUGAGUAACGCGUGGGUAACCUGCCCUAUACAGGGGGAUAACAGUUGGAAACGACUGUUAAUACCGCAUAAGCGCAGAGGAGCGCAUGCUCCGGUGUGAAAAACUCCGGUGGUAUAGGAUGGACCCGCGUCUGAUUAGCUAGUUGGCGGGGUAACGGCCCACCAAGGCGACGAUCAGUAGCCGGCCUGAGAGGGUAAACGGCCACAUUGGGACUGAGACACGGCCCAAACUCCUACGGGAGGCAGCAGUGGGGAAUAUUGCACAAUGGGGGGAACCCUGAUGCAGCGACGCCGCGUGAGCGAAGAAGUAUUUCGGUAUGUAAAGCUCUAUCAGCAGGGAAGAAAAUGACGGUACCUGACUAAGAAGCCCCGGCUAACUACGUGCCAGCAGCCGCGGUAAUACGUAGGGGGCAAGCGUUAUCCGGAUUUACUGGGUGUAAAGGGAGCGCAGGCGGCGCGGUAAGUCUGAUGUGAAAGCCCGGGGCUCAACCCCGGGACUGCAUUGGAAACUGUCGUGCUGGAGUGUCGGAGGGGCAAGUGGAAU
rnacentral:rRNA from 1 species